AACGAACGCUGGCGGCAGGCCUAACACAUGCAAGUCGAGCGGAUCCUUCGGGAUUAGCGGCGGACGGGUGAGUAACGCGUGGGAAUAUGCCCUUCUCUACGGAAUAGCCUCGGGAAACUGGGAGUAAUACCGUAUACGCCCUACGGGGGAAAGAUUUAUCGGAGAAGGAUUAGCCCGCGUUGGAUUAGGUAGUUGGUGGGGUAAUGGCCUACCAAGCCUACGAUCCAUAGCUGGUUUGAGAGGAUGAUCAGCCACACUGGGACUGAGACACGGCCCAGACUCCUACGGGAGGCAGCAGUGGGGAAUAUUGGACAAUGGGCGCAAGCCUGAUCCAGCCAUGCCGCGUGAGUGAUGAAGGCCCUAGGGUUGUAAAGCUCUUUCGACGGGGACGAUAAUGACGGUACCCGUAGAAGAAGCCCCGGCUAACUUCGUGCCAGCCGCCGCGGUAAGAC
rnacentral:rRNA from 1 species